GAUGAACGCUGGCGGCGUGCCUAAUACAUGCAAGUCGAGCGAACAGACGAGGAGCUUGCUCCUCUGACGUUAGCGGCGGACGGGUGAGUAACACUUGGAUAACCUACCUAUAAGACUGGGAUAACUUCGGGAAACCGGAGCUAAUACCGGAUAAUAUAUUGAACCGCAUGGUUCAAUAUUGAAAGACGGUUUUGCUGUCACUUAUAGAUGGAUCCGCGCCGCAUUAGCUAGUUGGUAAGGUAACGGCUUACCAAGGCAACGAUGCGUAGCCGACCUGAGAGGGUGAUCGGCCACACUGGAACUGAGACACGGUCCAGACUCCUACGGGAGGCAGCAGUAGGGAAUCUUCCGCAAUGGGCGAAAGCCUGACGGAGCAACGCCGCGUGAGUGAUGAAGGUCUUCGGAUCGUAAAACUCUGUUAUUAGGGAAGAACAAAUGUGUAAGUAACUAUGCACGUCUUGACGGUACCUAAUCAGAAAGCCACGGCUAACUACGUG
rnacentral:rRNA from 1 species